rnacentral:rRNA from 1 species
UGAACGCUGGCGGCAGGCCUAACACAUGCAAGUCGAGCGGUAGAGAGNAGCUUGCUUCUCUUGAGAGCGGCGGACGGGUGAGUAAUGCCUANGAAUCUGCCUGGUAGUGGGGGAUAACGUUCGGAAACGGGCGCUAAUACCGCAUACGUCCUUACGGGGAGAAAGCAGGGGACCNUCCNGGNCCUUGCGCUAUCANAUGAGNCNAAGUCCGNUUANCUAAUUUGGGGANGNAAUGUGGGGUAAUGGCUCACCAAGGCGACGAUCCGUAACUGGUCUGAGAGGAUGAUCAGUCACACUGGAACUGAGACACGGUCCAGACUCCUACGGGAGGCAGCAGUGGGGAAUAUUGGACAAUGGGCGAAGCCUGAUCCAGCCAUGCCGCGUGUGUGAAGAAGGUCUUCGGAUUGUAAAGCACUUUAAGUUGGGAGGAAGGGCAGUAAAUUAAUAAUACUUUGCUGUUUUGACGUUACCGACAGAAUAAGCACCGGCUAACUCUGUGCCAGCAGCCGCGGUAAUACAGAGGGU